rnacentral:lncRNA from 1 species
GGCGGCGGUUGCUGCAUGACUUGACAUGUCUGAAAUUAAAGGGCGGUUUGGUUCGAGGGACUAAAGAUUAGUCCGUCAAUUCUAAUCCUAUUUAGUCUCUAAAUUGCUAAACUGUGGGACUAAAACAGAGACUAAACUGAUUUAGUCCCUAGUCUCUCAAAGGGUGUCUAAAAGGGACUGAAUCAUAUUAAUUCUAUCUGUUGUCCCUCAUUUGUGUUUCAAUUGCACUAAUGGCAACAAAAUGUUAAGGAGCAUUUUGGUCUUCUUACGAGUCAUUUAAUGUGUUCUAAAUAUUUUGUUUCUGUAACCAAACAGGCUAGGGACUAAACUUUAGUACCCCAAUUAAAUUUUAGUCCAUGGACUAAACAAACCAAAUAGGCCUUAGUGAGAAAGGGACUAAAGUUAUUGUUAAUAUAAUCCCUUUUUGAAUAUUCUACGAUAAGCCCAACUUAUGGGACUUUUGAUGGAAAACUAAGCCCUUCCCAAUAGGCAUAAGUUGCAUACACAUUGAGAAUUUUGUUGGAUACCAGUUGAUUAAAGAAACAACACUGGCUGGAAUGUAAUCAUGGGUGAGAAUUGUAUUCUAUUCUCAGCUACUUACACAUUAGUCUAAUCUUUUUUAGUUUCUGAGAUCACUGUCAUCCAUUGAUUACUCUGACUGGGCUGUUCGUCUGAUACAAACAUCUUAGGGUUGAUCACAACAGUGAAAUAUUGGCUUGUUUCAUUGAAUAGUAGGUACGUAAUGUUCAGUGAUAUACCUAAUAUGUCCUGUGGGAGGUGAACAUCCAAUUAAACUGUGCUGAAGCAGUGUUCUUUUUCCCUUGUCGUCAGUGGAGAUAUGGUGAUUCGGUCAUUGAUCUUUGCUGACACUGAAAGGGCCUUAUAAAGCUCAAGUGAUUUAAGGAAUGGACAGAUUUCUGUUCCUUUUGCUUCCAAGUUAAUUAUUGACCGCAACAUUCAAUCAUUGCAGUAGAUCAAGUGAUUUAAGGAAUGACAGAUUUCUGUUCCUUUUGCUUCCAAGUUAAUUAUUGACCGCAACAUUCAAUCAUUGCAGUAGAUCACCCAAUUUUCCUGUUAGGGCUGGGAAGUAAUUUAAAUAAUCAGCAAAUUCACAUUUGAAAUGGUGGGUUUGGAACACUUGAACUUGUCACUGUAAAAACUCGGGCUGGUUGGAAAAAGACUGUCCCAUGGUAUUAUAUUAAUAUGCAUUUAGCGCGUGUUGCGGGAAUGCGGGAUGAACAAAGAAGGUAAGUACACGCUAACAGAAGCAUUUAGCGUGAGAGCUUUAACCUCAAAUUCGCUUCGACUGGGAUUAAAACUCAAAACCUGAGGAAUACAGAAUACUACUCAGAUCAACUAACCAAUUUUACUCAGAUCAACUAACCAAUUUAACUAGAGGUUUCUUUUGUAACUUGUAUUUUUUACAUUUAAAUUUUUUUUGUAACUUUUGCAGACUCAUAAGGCUAUCUCCAGCACUUUACUCAUCCCAAUACUCAUAUUCAAACUCUAUUUUGCGAACAGUGUAGUUUACAGUGCAGAACAUUACAAAACAAUAUUUUUAGGUAAACUAUAGGUAGAUUGCUGCAGACGGUUUAAAGCACAUGAUAGUCUACAUGCAAUUGACCCGCUGCCCAUGCAGGUGGUGUCAGCAAGAUGCAACUUCUAGUUCUAACAAUAUGUUGGUACAUUUAGGGUGUGUUUGGUUCAGAUUUCUGAACCAGAUUCGCUACCAAAAAUCUGAAAUCUCAAUCAAACAGGUAUAGAUUUCUAAAAAUCUAUAAAAUCUAUAGAUUUUACUAGUUCAAUUCAGAGUCACCUUAUAUCCCAUAUUUUCUAGAUUUCUGACAUCCAUGUUACAAUCUGUCAUGCUCUUAUUAAAUCUAUAGUUUCGACAAAACAAAUUUCAGUGGAGAUUGCUGGUGUGGUUCAGUGGAGAUUGCUGAUACGAUUUUUGCGAGUAUGGAUGCUCUGACGAAGCCCAGAAGCCUAGAAGUGAGAAGCCUGGUAUGCCCUUGAUCACGAGAUGGUUUCUCCGUUUAUGUAUUUACCGUGUGUUUUGUUGCCUGUGUUGCCUGCACGUGGCGUCGAUGUGUGGCCGUCCAAUAGCCCAGUAGCAGUAUCUGUGUGACUGUAAUAUUUCCUCGUGAAUAUGUUUGGGUCUAAGACUAUCUUCAGC